UACAGAGGGGGCAAGCGUUAUUCGAAAUUAUUGGGCGUAAAGGGCGCGUAGGCGGCUUUUCAAGUGACGGGUGAAAUCCCUCGGCUUAACCGAGGAACUGCCUGUCAGACUGGAAGGCUUGAGACCGGGAGAGGUGAGUGGAAUUCCCAGUGUAGCGGUGAAAUGCGUAGAUAUUGGGAGGAACACCAGUGGCGAAGGCGGCUCACUGGACCGGAACUGACGCUGAGGCGCGAAAGCGUGGGGAGCAAACAGG
rnacentral:rRNA from 1 species